rnacentral:rRNA from 1 species
UCCUCCCUCUUUCUUCGUGCUUAACACAUGCAAGUCGAACGGAAAGGCCCUGCUUUUGUGUGGUGCUCGAGUGGCGAACGGGUGAGUAACACGUGAGUAACCUGCCCUUGACUUUGGGAUAACUUCAGGAAACUGGGGCUAAUACCGGAUAGGAGCUCCUGCUGCAUGGUGGGGGUUGGAAAGUUUCGGCGGUUGGGGAUGGACUCGCGGCUUAUCAGCUUGUUGGUGGGGUAGUGGCUUACCAAGGCUUUGACGGGUAGCCGGACUGAGAGGGUGACCGGCCACAGUGGGACUGGGAUGCGGCCCAGAGUGCUACGGGAGGCAGCAGUGGGGAAUAGUGCACGAUGGGCGGAAGCCGGAUGCAGCAACGCCGCGUGCGGGAUGACGGCCUUCGGGGUGUAAACCGCGUGCGCCUGUGACGAAGCGUGAGUGACGGUAAUGGGUAAAGAAGCACCGGCUAACUACGUG